rnacentral:lncRNA from 1 species
CACAUAAAGUCAUUUAAUCUACAUAAUCUAAUAAAAAACACUUCUUUUCAGGACCUUCAGGUACAUAAUAUAAUAAGCAUUGGGAGAUUGUUCUAAAUAAUACAUUACAAUCUAGAGAGCAAUUUAAAACCUAGUAUGCUUCAAUAAAUAUAUGUUUUACAUCUUUUCCCCCCAAUUCAUUAGCUGUUUUACAUCUUUAUUCUCUUGAUGUAAUUAAAUGAAACAUUUUCUGAGAGAUGGAAUUUGUCCUCAAACAUGGUUUUUCUCAAAGUAGUUUUUUUGUUUUAAUUUUCUUCCCCCUAG